AAGUAGAACACACUACAUGUGAAUAAAUCCUAAUUUUAUAUUAAUAUUCUCAGACAGUAAUUAAACGGUAUAUCUGCAAAGCCAAAAUUGAUACCAGAAUUUGGUCUUGAGCUAAUGUAGCUGCCCUGUGAGAAGGACAAAUCUGAAAGACUUCAUUAACAUUGCUGCUUUUAAAAAAUAUUAUUCCUAGCUGAAUGUAUGUGUCUAAUAAUUUGCUUGAUUAAUUGAGUUCAUCUCCUUUUUUUCUCUUUUUUCAUUUUUUACUGCAAACAAGCUUUAAGUCCUUGUAAAAAUCUGCUUGAGAAAUUAAUACAGAUUGGACUUCUCCAUGACAAAUUUUACCUUCUAAUUUUCUUUCAUCUCAGCUGAAAGGUACCCAGGUAAAGUUAAAGGACUUAAUAUUGGCACAGUCAGAAGAACCUGUGGUGUGAGCCCCUGAAGACAGCAGCCACUCAGCAGCUUGGCAGGAGAAGGACACGCAUGCUUAUCUCCAGCAGCACUCAGCAUCAGCUGCAUCAACUUUCCACAGCACACACUGGACAAGUUUCAUUAAGUAUCUUGGUCAUGAUCCUAUGGAAUUUUCUUGGUGAUUUCCAUAAGAACUACAAGCAAAACUUCAUCAUUUGCAAUGGCCCUGUUGCUGUGGAUGAGGCAAAAACAGCUCACUGUGCUAGCCAGCCAAACAAGCACCUGCAUCCUCAGGACAAGCCCAAGUACAACACAGUCACUGUACCUGCAGACCUGCAGGUGCUACAUGUGCAUCUCCCAGCAACUGCCCAAUAUAACAGAACACAGCUCUCAUCAGAAGGAAAUGACAAUUCUUGCCAUAUUUUUUCAAGCUUUUUUUUUCUUUUGUAUGAGUAAACCAGGCACAAAUUCAGCACAGCCAAACACUGAUUUACUGCCACUCUUCUCAUUUUACCACCUUAAUAAAACAUCCAGAAAACGAGAAUGGAUGAAUAUAAAAUUAUUGCUGAUAAUAAAACAGAGUCCAAAGAUGCAUUUUCCCCAUAUUAUUACUCUAUGACAGUCCCA
rnacentral:lncRNA from 1 species